rnacentral:rRNA from 1 species
AAAUUGAAGAGUUUGAUCAUGGCUCAGAUUGAACGCUGGCGGCAGGCUUAACACAUGCAAGUCGAGCGGUAGCACAGAGAGCUUGCUCUCGGGUGACGAGCGGCGGACGGGUGAGUAAUGUCUGGGAAACUGCCUGAUGGAGGGGGAUAACUACUGGAAACGGUAGCUAAUACCGCAUAAUGUCGCAAGACCAAAGUGGGGGACCUUCGGGCCUCAUGCCAUCAGAUGUGCCCAGAUGGGAUUAGCUAGUAGGUGGGGUAACGGCUCACCUAGGCGACGAUCCCUAGCUGGUCUGAGAGGAUGACCAGCCACACUGGAACUGAGACACGGUCCAGACUCCUACGGGAGGCAGCAGUGGGGAAUAUUGCACAAUGGGCGCAAGCCUGAUGCAGCCAUGCCGCGUGUGUGAAGAAGGCCUUCGGGUUGUAAAGCACUUUCAGCGGGGAGGAAGGCGUUAAGGUUAAUAA